UACGGAGGGAGCUAGCGUUGUUCGGAAUUACUGGGCGUAAAGCGCACGUAGGCGGCUUUGUAAGUUAGAGGUGAAAGCCCGGGGCUCAACCCCGGAAUUGCCUUUAAGACUGCAUCGCUUGAAUCCGGGAGAGGUGAGUGGAAUUUACGGUGUAGCAGUGAAAUGCGUAGAGAUCGUAAGGAAGACCAGUGGCGAAGGCGAGUUUCUGGACGGUAACUGACGCUGAGGCACGAAGGCCAGGGGAGCAAACGGG
rnacentral:rRNA from 1 species